GGGCGAUUAACUCAGGGGUAGAGUGGUUUCUUCACACGGAACAAGUCGCUGGUUCAAAUCCAGCAUCGCCCACCA
rnacentral:tRNA from 2 species